rnacentral:rRNA from 1 species
CAGGCUUAACACAUGCAAGCCGAGGGGCAGCAUGGUCUUAGCUUGCUAAGACUGAUGGCGACCGGCGCACGGGUGAGUAACACGUAUCCAACCUGCCGUCUACUCUUGGACAGCCUUCUGAAAGGAAGAUUAAUACAAGAUGGCAUCAUGAGUCCGCAUGUUCACAUGAUUAAAGGUAUUCCGGUAGACGAUGGGGAUGCGUUCCAUUAGAUAGUAGGCGGGGUAACGGCCCACCUAGUCUUCGAUGGAUAGGGGUUCUGAGAGGAAGGUCCCCCACAUUGGAACUGAGACACGGUCCAAACUCCUACGGGAGGCAGCAGUGAGGAAUAUUGGUCAAUGGGCGAGAGCCUGAACCAGCCAAGUAGCGUGAAGGAUGACUGCCCUAUGGGUUGUAAACUUCUUUUAUAAAGGAAUAAAGUCGGGUAUGGAUACCCGUUUGCAUGUACUUUAUGAAUAAGGAUCGGCUAACUCCGUGCCAGCAGCCGCGGUAAUACGGAGGAUCCGAGCGUUAUCCGGAUUUAUUGGGUUUAAAGGGAGCGUAGAUGGAUGUUUAAGUCAGUUGUGAAAGUUUGCGGCUCAACCGUAAAAUUGCAGUUGAUACUGGAUAUCUUGAGUGCAGUUGAGGCAGGCGGAAUUCGUGGUGUAGCGGUGAAAUGCUUAGAUAUCACGAAGAACUCCGAUUGCGAAGGCAGCCUGCUAAGCUGCAACUGACAUUGAGGCUCGAAAGUGUGGGUAUCAAACAGGAUUAGAUACCCUGGUAGUCCACACGGUAAACGAUGAAUACUCGCUGUUUGCGAUAUACAGCAAGCGGCCAAGCGAAAGCGUUAAGUAUUCCACCUGGGGAGUACGCCGGCAACGGUGAAACUCAAAGGAAUUGACGGGGGCCCGCACAAGCGGAGGAACAUGUGGUUUAAUUCGAUGAUACGCGAGGAACCUUACCCGGGCUUAAAUUGCAGAUGAAUUACGGUGAAAGCCGUAAGCCGCAAGGCAUCUGUGAAGGUGCUGCAUGGUUGUCGUCAGCUCGUGCCGUGAGGUGUCGGCUUAAGUGCCAUAACGAGCGCAACCCUUGUUGUCAGUUACUAACAGGUUCCGCUGAGGACUCUGACAAGACUGCCAUCGUAAGAUGUGAGGAAGGUGGGGAUGACGUCAAAUCAGCACGGCCCUUACGUCCGGGGCUACACACGUGUUACAAUGGGGGGUACAGAGGGCCGCUACCACGCGAGUGGAUGCCAAUCCCCAAAACCUCUCUCAGUUCGGACUGGAGUCUGCAACCCGACUCCACGAAGCUGGAUUCGCUAGUAAUCGCGCAUCAGCCACGGCGCGGUGAAUACGUUCCCGGGCCUUGUACACACCGCCCGUCAAGCCAUGGGAGCCGGGGGUACCUGAAGUGCGUAACCGCGAGGAGCGCCCUAGGGUAAAACUGGUGACUGGG